GGGUAUAUUCUACUUUAUGUGGAAACUAACUUCUCUGGACUCUUGUUUUCCUGUGUCUUGUCCCAGUAAUUCCUUACUUUUUUUUUUUUGGUCCCGAGUUUGAUCCCCGGUACCAAAAAAAUAAAAAAUAAAAAUAUUUGCCUGGCAUAUGUAUGGUAGACCCUUGACUUACGAACUCAAUUCAUUCCCGAGGGCUGGUUGUAACUCAGGUUGAUCAAUUGAAGGCUCAGGCUCCUCUACACAGCCUUCAAAGUGUCUCUCCUGUACAAAGGCAGAUCUCAGUGUCCUUAGAGAGACACUGGCCCAGAAUUUCUCCAUUAACCCCACACAGGAAAGGAUGCUGUCAUGUUCCUUCCAGAACUAUUUAAGGGUUACAUCUGUAUCUGAGACCAUUUGGAAGCACAAGUGGCUGGCAUUCAGGUUGUAACUCAAGACUUUGGUUAUAAGUUAAAACUAAAAUUUCGGUCAUAACCCAAGUUGUUUGUAUGUCAGGCCGGUCGUAACUCAAGGGCCCACUGUAGUUGUCCUUGACAGGAAGAUUGUUCCAGUUCUAAGUGACCUUUCUAUACUUGGGGAAAUUCCCCUGCAUUUUGCUCCUUGACUUAGAAGUCAGAACCCAAAUUCACAGCCUCCCUUGCAGUUAGAACAUAGCUGUGACUUAGCCAGUCACACACCCGAGGGAGACUGCAAUCCAGAACGGCACAGCACGGGGCUUGGUGGUCACAAUGGGAAUAGAGGUGGUUUCUCAGCAGAUUCUGGAUUCUUCGGGUCAAGUUCUUGAAGCAGAAUUUGGCACUGGGCAGGAGUGACUAUACUAAUGUCAAAUUUGCAUCAUUAGCAAUGGUACUAGCUGUCAUCUGGUCAUUAUGAUUUUAGGCAUUGCCCGUGGAAGCUGAGCCUGGAAUCUGUUUCUCAUCCUCCCCAGUGAUUCUGGGACUUACCUAAUAAUUUGAAAGAAACCCCCCCUUGCUGCUGAGUGGUGUCAGAAAGGAUUCUGUUGCUUGCCACUAAAAUCUACCAUGAUAUACCUGGAUUCUUGGCUCUGG
ensembl:lncRNA